GGUGAGAUGGCCGAGUGGUCUAAGGCGCUACGUUUAGGUCUUCCUUUGGAUGUUCCGACAACCGUAGUCUUCACGGGCGUGGGUUCGAAUCCCACUCUCAUCA